rnacentral:lncRNA from 1 species
CUGAAUUCCAACAAGAGGUGAUAGGAAUUCCUUAUGUGAUUUAUGAUCUUCACUAUUUUGUAUCCUAGGAACUCAUUUAUCGUUAAAUUUGAAAUAGGCAUUGGUCUGAUGUGCAUCUUGGGUGAUACUACAACAUGCUCCUGGCAUAUUGGCAGGUAGCCAUGUUGUAGAGAUGGCCUGAAGACCUGGAGAGUAGAAACUACAUCCUACAGGCACUGUCUGUGCCAGGACAUGGGAAGAACAGGUCUAAUUUUGACUAUGGUUG